UCCGGCUUAUCACCGGCAGUCCCCUUAGAGUGCCCAACUAAAUGUAGCAACUAAUGACAAGGGUUGCGCUCGUUGCGGGACUUAACCCAACAUCUCACGACACGAGCUGACGACAGCCAUGCAGCACCUGUGCUCCCGUUCCCUUUCGGGCACAGCCCCAUUUCUGGGGCCUCCAGGACAUGUCAAGGGUAGGUAAGGUUUUUCGCGUUGCAUCGAAUUAAUCCACAUCAUCCACCGCUUGUGCGGGUCCCCGUCAAUUCCUUUGAGUUUUAAUCUUGCGACCGUACUCCCCAGGCGGUCGACUUCACGCGUUAGCUGCGGUACUAAGGAAGUCUCCUUCCCCAACACCUAGUCGACAUCGUUUAGGGCGUGGACUAC
rnacentral:misc_RNA from 1 species